GUGCCUCAGCCAAAACGAGGCACGGCGCACAGCUCAGUAACACGUGGCUAACCUGCCCUUAGGACGAGAAUAACCCCGGGAAACUGGGGCUAAUGCUCGAUAGGUGAAGAACUCUGGAAUGAGUCUUCACUUAAAAGAGUCUGCGUUAUGCUCGUAGAUUUCGCUUAAGGAUGGGGCCGCGACCGAUCAGGUUGUUGGUGAGGUAAUGGCUCACCAAGCCUUUUACCGGUGCGGGCCGUGAGAGCGGGAGCCCGGAGAUGGGCACUGAUACAAGGGCCCAGGCCCUACGGGGCGCAGCAGUCGCGAAAACUUUGCAAUACACGAAAGUGUGACAGGGCUAUCCCGAGUGCCAUCCGCUGAGGAAGGCUUUUACCCAGUCUAGAACGCUGGGGGAAUAAGGAGAGGGCAAGUCUGGUGUCA
rnacentral:rRNA from 1 species